rnacentral:rRNA from 1 species
UGCAGUCGAACGGUAGCACAGAGAACUUGGUCCCUUGUGAGGAGAGUGGGACAGGUGAGUAAUGUCUGGGAAACUGCCUGAUGUAGGGGGAUAUCUACUGGAAACGGUUACUCUUACCCCACAAAGUCCCUAGACCUGAAAGGGGGACCUUCUGGCCUCUUGCCAUCUUAUGUGCCCCGAUGGGAUUAUUAUAGUAUGUGGGGUAACGGCUCCCUAAGCGACAAUCCCUAUCUGGUCUGAGA